UCUAUGCAGCAUCUAACACUAGCUUUCUCAACGUUCCUCUUCCUUAUCUUUUCCCUUCAACUUCAGUUUCCCUCUGCUUUCCAUCUCGCUUUUGUCACUAAUUUUGUUUUACGAUUUACCUUUCAAAUCUUCAAGCUGUUACAAAAACAGUUGGCUCCAUACAGUCGGAAAUUUGAAAUGAUAUUGGAGACUAAAUAUGAAAUGAGAUACCAAAAGAAAUAAAGAAAAGAAUGACUUAUAAGUACAUUUUAAUCUUGUAAUCAUA